UACGUAGGGGGCAAGCGUUGUCCGGAAUUAUUGGGCGUAAAGAGCGCGUAGGCGGUCCGAUAAGUCUGCUGUGAAAGUCAGGGGCUCAACCCUUGAAAGCCGGCCGAUACUGUCGGACUAGAGUCCGGAAGAGGCAAGUGGAAUUCCCGGUGUAGCGGUGAAAUGCGCAGAUAUCGGGAGGAACACCAAUGGCGAAGGCAGCUUGCUGGGACGGUACUGACGCUGAGGCGCGAAAGCCAGGGGAGCGAACGGG
rnacentral:rRNA from 1 species